UACAGAGGUCUCAAGCGUUGUUCGGAUUCAUUGGGCGUAAAGGGUGCGUAGGCGGCGCGGUAAGUCGGGUGUGAAAUCUCGGAGCUUAACUCCGAAACUGCAUUCGAUACUGCCGUGCUUGAGGACUGGAGAGGAGACUGGAAUUUACGGUGUAGCGGUGAAAUGCGUAGAUAUCGUAAGGAAGACCAGUGGCGAAGGCGGGUCACUGGACAGUUCCUGACGCUGAGGCACGAAGGUCAGGGGAGCAAACGGG
rnacentral:rRNA from 1 species